CCUACGGGAGGCAGCAGUGAGGAAUAUUGGUCAAUGGACGAGAGUCUGAACCAGCCAAGUAGCGUGAAGGAUGACUGCCCUAUGGGUUGUAAACUUCUUUUAUAUGGUAAUAAAACAGGGUAUGCAUACCCUCUUGUAUGUACCAUAGGAAUAAGGAUCGGCAAACUCCGUGCCAGCAGCAGCGGUAAUACGGCGGAUCCGAGCGUUAUCCGGAUUUAUUGGGUUUACAGGGAGCGUAGGUGGAUUGUUAAGUCAGUUGUGAAAGUUUGCGGCUCAACCGUAAAUUGCAGUUGAAACUGGCAGUCUGGAGUACAGUAGAGGUGGGCGGAAUUCGUGGUGUAGCGGUGAAAUGCUUAGAUAUCACGAAGAACUCCGAUUGCGAAGGCAGCUCACUGGACUGCAACUGACACUGAUGCUCGAAAGUGUGGGUAUCAAACAGGAUUAGAUACCCGGGUAGUC
rnacentral:rRNA from 1 species